rnacentral:rRNA from 1 species
CGGCAUGCCUAACACAUGCAAGUCGAACGAAGGCUUCGGCCUUAGUGGCGCACGGGUGCGUAACGCGUGGGAAUCUGCCCUUGGGUUCGGAAUAACAGCUAGAAAUGGCUGCUAAUACCGGAUGAUGACGUAAGUCCAAAGAUUUAUCGCCCAGGGAUGAGCCCGCGUAGGAUUAGCUAGUUGGUGGGGUAAAGGCUCACCAAGGCGACGAUCCUUAGCUGGUCUGAGAGGAUGAUCAGCCACACUGGGACUGAGACACGGCCCAGACUCCUACGGGAGGCAGCAGUGGGGAAUAUUGGACAAUGUUUGCAAGCCUGAUCCAGCAAUGCCGCGUGAGUGAUGAAGGCCUUAGGGUUGUAAAGCUCUUUUACCCGGGAUGAUAAUGACAGUACCGGGAGAAUAAGCUCCGGCUAACUCCGUGCCA